AGACCCGAAACCCGGUGAUCUAGCCAUGGGCAGGUUGAAGGUUGGGUAACACUAACUGGAGGACCGAACCGACUAAUGUUGAAAAAUUAGCGGAUGACCUGUGGCUGGGGGUGAAAGGCCAAUCAAACCGGGAGAUAGCUGGUUCUCCCCGAAAGCUAUUUAGGUAGCGCCUCGUGAAUUCAUCUCCGGGGGUAGAGCACUGUUUCGGCUAGGGGGCCAUCCCGGCUUACCAACCCGAUGCAAACUGCGAAUACCGGAGAAUGUUAUCACGGGAGACACACGGCGGGUGCUAACGUCCGUCGUGAAGAGGGAAACAACCCAGACCGCCAGCUAAGGUCCCAAAGUCAUGGUUAAGUGGGAAACGAUGUGGGAAGGCCCAGACAGCCAGGAUGUUGGCUUAGAAGCAGCCAUCAUUUAAAGAAAGCGUAAUAGCUCACUGGUCGAGUCGGCCUGCGCGGAAGAUGUAACGGGGCUAAACCAUGCACCGAAGCUGCGGCAGCGACACUGUGUGUUGUUGGGUAGGGGAGCGUUCUGUAAGCCUGUGAAGGUGUGUCGUGAGGCAUGCUGGAGGUAUCAGAAGUGCGAAUGCUGACAUAAGUAACGAUAAAGCGGGUGAAAAGCCCGCUCGCCGGAAGACCAAGGGUUCCUGUCCAACGUUAAUCGGGGCAGGGUGAGUCGACCCCUAAGGCGAGGCCGAAAGGCGUAGUCGAUGGGAAACGGGUUAAUAUUCCCGUACUUGGUGUUACUGCGAAGGGGGGACGGAGAAGGCUAUGUUGGCCGGGCGACGGUUGUCCCGGUUUAAGCGUGUAGGUGUGUGUUCCAGGUAAAUCCGGUUCACUUUAACACUGAGGCGUGACGACGAGGCACUACGGUGCUGAAGCAACAAAUGCCCUGCUUCCAGGAAAAGCCUCUAAGCAUCAGGUAACAUCAAAUCGUACCCCAAACCGACACAGGUGGUCAGGUAGAGAAUACCAAGGCGCUUGAGAGAACUCGGGUGAAGGAACUAGGCAAAAUGGUGCCGUAACUUCGGGAGAAGGCACGCUGACACGUAGGUGAAGUGAUUUACUCAUGGAGCUGAAGUCAGUCGAAGAUACCAGCUGGCUGCAACUGUUUAUUAAAAACACAGCACUGUGCAAACACGAAAGUGGACGUAUACGGUGUGACGCCUGCCCGGUGCCGGAAGGUUAAUUGAUGGGGUCAGCGCAAGCGAAGCUCCUGAUCGAAGCCCCGGUAAACGGCGGCCGUAACUAUAACGGUCCUAAGGUAGCGAAAUUCCUUGUCGGGUAAGUUCCGACCUGCACGAAUGGCGUAAUGAUGGCCAGGCUGUCUCCACCCGAGACUCAGUGAAAUUGAACUCGCUGUGAAGAUGCAGUGUACCCGCGGCAAGACGGAAAGACCCCGUGAACCUUUACUAUAGCUUGACACUGAACAUUGAGCCUUGAUGUGUAGGAUAGGUGGGAGGCUUUGAAGUGUGGACGCCAGUCUGCAUGGAGCCGACCUUGAAAUACCACCCUUUAAUGUUUGA
rnacentral:rRNA from 1 species